CUUGAACUAAAGAGUAAAAACCUGCACAUGUGAUAGAUUCUUAAAUACCACUAAUGACACGCGGUACACACAGUGUUUUCGGGAAGCAGGACAUCUGUCAUGACUGUCAAUGUGUGUUAGCCAUCUACAUACUCCCCGUGAGUUCUGUGACCAUGACCAGUGUUUAUUUCCAUGGGUUUCUCAGCUACAGUUGUUAAGAUCAUCCCGAUCAAAGGUGCUUUGUUUCUUUCUAGUACCCUCUUUGUAAUCAGAUGUGUCUUUGGGGUAGACAAGAAAGGUGCUUUGUUUCUUUCUAGUACCCUCUUUGUAAUCAGAUGUGUCUUUGGGGUAGACAAGAAAGGUUCACAGGCAGUCUGUGAAACCAUAGGUUAGAGGAGACUCUAUCCAUUUUCUGGCAGCUUUUCCUCCUCAGCAUGUUCUAUAUAUGAGCCCAACCUAUUUCACAAAUCUCAAUCACCGUGAGGUCAGAGGUCAGGAAACUUAAGACAGACCACUGGGAUGCAGACU
rnacentral:lncRNA from 1 species